AUCACCCUUGCUUCUCUGUCACCAUUGUAAUCUCCAUCCCACCAUUUUUAGCUGUCCCCACUGCUCCGUUCAUAGAUACAGUCUCCACCGCCAACCCUUCCAUCACCUUCCUCCAUCUUCCCUCCAUCUCGCUCCCUCUGGACUCUUCCCUAGACAUCCCUUCCCUAACCUUCGAGUUCACUCGCAUCAGUAAUCCUAAUCUGCACCAAGCCCUACUUUCCCUCUCAAAGUCCAAGCUCAUCAAAGCUUUUGUUCUUGAUUUCUUUUGUAAUGCCGCUUUUGAAGUCUCCACUA
rnacentral:misc_RNA from 1 species